CUCGCGCCGCAGCUGCGACCGUUAAUGACCAUUAAUGACCGUUGACGACCGUUAAAGGCCGUUCACUCUCGGUGACCCCCCGCAAAGCAGUCAGAGGUGCGCGGAGCUGCGGGAGCGCUGCGGACUGCAGAGCCAGGGGACAUGUCAGCACUUCUGGUUGAGGACACAACUCUGACACCCCAAGGCCUUGUGGACAGCCUCACACCUUAAAGUCAGAGAGGGUGAUGUUGAGACCAAGAUGAAACCAUGCAGAAGAUCCAUCAGGUGCCUUGCGGGGGGGUAAGCCUCAAACAGCAAAUGAAGUCCAGGGAGGCUGUCCGAUGCAGGCCAGACACCAUUGCUGUCUUCUCUUCUGGAACCCAAACUCAGAGCCACAUCCAAACUGCAAUGAAGCAAGCGUUUUGGUUUGUGUGAUUUACAACCUCAACCAAAAACUGAUAUUGGUGAAUAAUCCAGGACGGGGAAAAGGGCUGACGUGUCAGGAGGAGAGUUCAACACAAGAAUUCAUUACAACUCCAACACAUCCGAGAACAUCAGAAGGUUCAUUCUACUCACAAGCGAUGCGGACGGAUGCCUUCCUGCUCUUCGAGGUCCCCAGAUGGCUCCAUGCCACGCACUGACACCAGUAAUCUUCUGGCCCAUGGAAGUCCUCCACCUGCUGCCUCGUCACAUUAAUGAACACCUCCCGGACCUUCAGGCCUGAAGGGAAAAGAUACAGAAAAUGAAGUGAUGUGAGCUAUCUUCCUUGGGCAUAAAGCUGAGGUUAGCCGACGCUUUUCUUUUAAUUAAACAAUUCCAUUUUUAAUCAAGGCAAAGCUUUAAUUACUUUGACAAUCAUAUAUUACCAUUAAUUAAAUCCUAAAAGCUGAAUAGGUCAAAAUGCAUCAAAUGAAAUGAAUCACCCACCCACUGUGGCCUUUGCAAGAGUCAGAAACCUUUUCUCUUGUGCCUUCUGUCUCUCAGAGGGAUUAUUUGGCAUUGCAUAACAUACAGUGAAAUUGUAUUCCCAUUUACCACACUCAGUGAACUUGAAACUCCUUCUGAAGUACCCUGGUGGGCCCAUCCAUUACCCCCAGUGAAGUCGAACAACCAGAACUAUGCAUAAGUGAUAGGAAUUAAACAGGUUCAUCUAAAUAGCUCAGAAAGGGAUCUCAUGGAAUAAUGAAGGCAAACCAGGAGUAACGAUGGGAAAAGCCUCAUGCUUUUUUUUUCCUCCUGCUGCCAUUUCCAAAACCCCCCCACACAGCCAACAUUCAGCAGCAUUGCCCUUCAGAGCAGAAGCUUUUGUUUCAGAGAAGAUAACAAGAAUAGAGGCCUUCUAAGCCUGACACCUUAUUUUAUACAAUCACAAUGUUUGCUAUAUCUGUCUGUAUGCUAAAUCUGUAACUACCUUCGUAUGACAACGUUGGGGAGAGGAAAUAUAAUCCAAAUCGCUGUGAAGAGGCAUUAAGAAUCACUUAGGAGAGCUAGUCAGAAAAACAUUAAUUUGAAAAUCGAAGAAGAAAACCAUGCCUUCUGCUUCCUUCCUUCUCUCCUUUGGUGCAGUCCCAAGGUGCUUAUUUCCCCUUCACUGGAAAUGAAUGAAAACUCAAUCUUAAAAUAUUUCAUGCCUGUGAAUUUAUAAAGCACCAAGAAGUUUCUAAACCUGAACUCCAUAAAAAUUGGCUUCCACUUAAUCUCAGGCAUCAUUAACAAAUGGCUGGGUAGCGCACUUCGGGAAGGCACCAUGAAGUCAGCCUGGUCCUCUGACAGACGAGAGCUGAGGCCACUGGGGACGCUCAUUGGAGAGCAGUGGGGAAGGGCAGAGGAGCUUUAAAUGCUAUAAAGCAAUACAACAUUUUUGUUAUGUUUCCACAAUUUCACAUUGUUUCUUUUCAUUUCUCCUGUUUGGCUUGUCAUGCUUCCCAAGGACAUCUUAAGAUACGGCCACACCUCCAAGAGCUUCCUCAGUUGUCUCAAAGAUCAUUUUAGUAGUUCAAAUAUUUAUCCACGCUGUAAUAAAUAAACAGAGCUUUCCUGGUUGUUUCUA